UCUAGCGAAAUGUGGAGACAGACACCAUCUCCUUGAGUGUGGGAAUUCUCCUUCCCAGAUUUCUGAGCUCCUGAAAAAGAUAGACGCCAUGGUAGCAGAAAACUGUGAAGAAUUCUUAAUCCCCCAAGUAUACUAUGAACUGAUGGAGACUACAAUGCCAAGAGAAGUGACCGAGCUGAGAAGGAUGUAUGAAGACAGAGGACAGACUGAAACAGAAAUACAAAACAGAGUUGAAGGAAAAGGAAGAAGAGCUGAAGAAGUAUAGAGAAGAAGAGAAGCCUAAAGAAAGGUUGAUGAAGAGGACAAGUAGCAGUCAACUACUUUCCCCCCAGUAUAAGCACAGAGAAGCAGGACAGGUCGGUAAUGGCUGACCAUCAGAAGGUGGACCUACAGGCCGUCAAGCAAGGAUACAGGGAAGAGGCCUUGUCUGUGGUGGGCCACUACGUCAAACCACUAAUAGUGAUUAUGACUGCUGUAGUGGGGGCACUCAACAAAAUUUAAGCGCAACGUUCUGGGACUUUUUUUGUGUUAUGAUAACAUUUGCCGCAACCGAACAAAUGUCCUGGGAAUUUUCAGAGAAACAAUUUUGGUUUGUUAGAUGCCCUCUCUCUCUUGCCCUCUCUCUCUUGCCCUCUCUCUCUCUCGCCCUCUCUCUCUUGCCCUCUCUCUCUCUCUCUCUCUCUCUCUCUCUCUCUCUCUCUGUAACUGAUGGUUGUUGUUGAGAGGUUUUUAUUAUUGUGUGGGGGUGAAUGUCUGCACCCUUUGCGACCUGAUGGAUUGUGUUGAUCUGAGUCCUACUAUACUAUUACUAUACUAUUUUCUGGUGUAGUCAUGUUAUCCAGUAGCUGUAGAUAUAUAUCAGUAGUAGAAUCAUUCUGUACAAACAGCAAGGGAAUUUACUCAAACGAAAGGGCAGUUUGCUCUGGAUUUACUCUGACAGCCGCAGAAGAGAAGGAUAGUAGCAGACUUGAGAACUUCGGAAGACAUUAAUCAUUUUCUUCUCAGCUUUUUAAAUGAUCACUUUUCAAGGAUUUCACAGAGACACAUUUAACAUACAGCACAGUAGGCUUGAGCAUGAAUGCAUAUAUUUCAGUGAAUUAAAUAAACAAAUGUGAGAUGCCAUAUACUCUUUUGCAAUAUAAAAAAGGUGAUACAUUGUAAGGAUGAAUUCAAAACGGUUCUCUUUUCAUAUUGUACUUUAUUUCAAAUAUGUAUCACCACAGAAUUUCCUCUGUUGACCCACAGUUUUCUCAUACUGUAUUUGUUCACUCAAAAGUCUGCCCUGAGGCACUCACUAAACCCACCUUAUUACAGUGCACCUCACACUGGUACCCAGCUAACCAGCAGAUUUUUGCACUGAACAUUCUAUUCUAUAUUUAAUUCAUCUUUAACAUGAUUUAUUGAGCUAUAAAUGUUUUUAUUUUUGUUAUUUCUGAUAUGAAAAACCAAAAACACAAAUCCUAGUAUAGACGCCUAUGUGUCUUUGUUUGAAUGUUUUCUCUAAAUUAAAUGUUUUCAUAUUAUGAUUGUUUAAAUUAACACAUUUGCUCACAAUAUGUUACAGACGUGUUUAAUGUGUUAUAUGUACACCUUUUAUUCGAAUACUUAUGAAAUGCACAUUGUUAUAUUUGGUAACACUUAUUUUCCAUCGACUCCAACACCAUUCAAUGCAAUGUGGGUGGAGCUAUGUCUACAUAAGGGUGCUAAUAAAAAAAACUCACAAAAGCUCUGAGGAAGGCCGUGAGGUCGUUACGUAAAGCUUAUUAAAGAGUAGUGAUACUAGCAAGAGCAUUGUGCGGGUUUCUCCUUUUUUCUCAUCUGACAAUAUGUUUAAAAACAUUAUAUACAUAAUCAGAUUUUUUUUUUAAGAAAAUAUACUCUAACCAAAAAUGUAGCAGAACACAUGUGCAGCUUGCUCCUCAUAUUGCACGGCAACAUCAUUCUUGAUCUUGAACUUCUGUUGGUCAUACUAUUAUUCCAAUUCAUGCUCAAACCUGUAUGAUAAUCCAAAAUAAAUCUUUUCACCUUUCGAUCCGUGCAGGUGCCAAUCUCGAGCACAGGAUCGUAGCGCACUGGUGUAAUGAGGACAAAACAAAGAAACAUGGCACACAAGGAAGAGGCCGACAGCAGGCCAUAAACAGCAACCACUGUGACUGAAGAUGCAGAAGACACGAGGAACAGGUUCUAAACAGAACCAGGAACUACAUGAGCUGAAAGCAGACCUAAACAGAACCAGGAACUACAUCAGCUGAAAGCAGAGGUGGACAUGCAGAAGCAAUAUGAGCUGAAAGCAGAGGUGGACAGUGGUGUGCAGAAGGAGACGAAAGUAAAUAUUAGCAAAAAGUCACAUUUAUGCAGAAUAUUUCCGUUUUUUGUAAAUAUUUAAUCCUGAAGUUCCUGUUGUCUAUAUUUUUAUUCUGCACAUUUUACAGUGGAGACUGGUGUUGUAUAGCAUUGGAAAAACUCAGUUGGCUUUGCACAGUGCACAUUAUGGG